rnacentral:rRNA from 1 species
ACUUAAAUUGAAGAGUUUGAUCAUGGCUCAGAUUGAACGCUGGCGGCAGGCCUAACACAUGCAAGUCGAGCGGUAGCACAGAGAGCUUGCUCUCGGGUGACGAGCGGCGGACGGGUGAGUAAUGUCNUGGGAAACUGCCUGAUGGAGGGGGNAUAANNCUACUGGAAACGGUAGCUAAUACCGCAUAAUGUCGCAAGACCAAAGUGGGGGACCUUCGGGCCUCAUGCCAUCAGAUGUGCCCAGAUGGGAUUAGCUAGUAGGUGGGGUAACGGCUCACCUAGGCGACGAUCCCUAGCUGGUCUGAGAGGAUGACCAGCCACACUGGAACUGAGACACGGUCCAGACUCCUACGGGAGGCAGCAGUGGGGAAUAUUGCACAAUGGGCGCAAGCCUGAUGCAGCCAUGCC